rnacentral:lncRNA from 1 species
AUGGACUGGGAAGCCUGGUGUGCUGCAGUCCACGGGGGUCACAAAGAGUUGGACAGGAUUGAGCGAUUGAAGGAACUGAACUGAAAAACGCGGGCGCCUCGGCGGCGGGGGUGGGGGUUGGGCAUGAAUGGCGGAGGAGGGCGGAAGGCCUCCGACCCGCCCGCGACCCCCGGGGCGCCUUGAGGGCGUGGGAACUACCAAUCCCGGCGUGCUCCGGGUCGGCGCGGGCGCGCGGUGGGCAGCUGUUGGCUAGACCGGUUUGUUGCCUGGGUUGCGGAGAUGGGCUCUGCGGGCGGUGGCAAAUCCGGCGUUGCCUGAUGGCGCCUCUGACACGAAGCUGGGUGGGGUAAAGAGUAGAGGGCGGUAGUUGCGGCAGGUGGGAGAAGGAAGAGGCGGCGGUGAAUCGAUUAUAAAUGACUCCGAAGCAGGACCUGGAGACUAAAUUCCAGGAGGAUGACACAGAUUCACAUCAAGAUACAGAUGAUGUGCAGAGAAAACCCAUGCCCCCAAAGAGAUUACAGUCACUUCUCCAAACAGAUCCAGCGGGAAUAACCACAAAAGUCACUAAAACCACAUUAAGGGGUCACCUGGGACCCCUUAAUAGAACAGGACGAUAGCUCCAUGACUCCAACUAGGUAGGGUCUAUGAGUCCCGUGUCAGCAUUAAAGAAGUUACAGAAGACUGACCAUCUGUCCCUCAUCACCCCGAUAAAGAUUUCUUGGGGUUCACAUCUCAAGGAAAAUUUGAAGUAGGAGAUAGACGGUCCCUGGGCUGAAUAGCUGGUGAUUUUCAAACGGAGCAAAACUGAAGUUUGUCCUCAGCCAGACAAAAAUGACGUAUUUCCCUUCCUCCAUUGUUAGGAGGGAAUAAACUGACGGGGGAGUUGUUGCAGUGAAAAGGAAAAAAGAGGAAUGGGUUUUUCUUUUUCACUUCUCUGAAACCAAAGAAGAUAAAGAAGAACAGUGAGCAGGCCUGAACAUUCCUAGUUUAUUUUACUUUAACUGCUCCUGAUUCCAAAUGUCUGUAACUAAGUUUGCUUUUCUGCCCCCGAACUCUGCAGGAGCUACACUUGACUUGACUCCAUGCUAAGUACAUCCUCUGUCUGUAUCUGAUGUUUACAACAGCCUUCCCCUUGUAGUUACAUGUCAGAAAGAAGGCCUCAGAGCCACCAAACUGCCAGAUGCAGUUACUGGGUUACUGAUGUCAGUUUAUGACUGUCUUUGAAAUGAUGCAAGAGGAAGAAAUCAAAAUCCUAUCACCUUUGUUUCCUUAUCACCGACUCCUGACUGCUUCUGACUGUGAGCACCUGCUUUAGGGACACAGUUCUUGAGCCAGGAGCAUACUGUGUUCCCCUCUCCACUACCUGAGAAUAAAAGCCACUGUUCUAUUUCUUUCAAAUUCUGCCUUUCUAGUUUUCAUUCGGCUUCGGUGGGCAGAGAAGGCCAAAGUGUUGGCCAGCAACAGAAAGAAGUAAGUCAAGAGAAAGACAAAUACUGUAUUACUUACAGGUGGAAGCUGUAUAUUCAUACAGAUGAACUAACUUACAAAACAGGCUCAAAUGUAGGAAACCAGUUUAUGAUUAUAAGAAAAUGUUAGUGGGGAGGCAUCAAUUUAGAGUUUGAAAUUGACAUACAUACACACUAAUUCAUAUCAAAUAGAUGAUCAAAAACAGCCUAAAGAAUAGCCCUGGGAACUCUACUGAACACACUGUAAUCACCUAUAUGGGGGAAAAAAACCCGAACAAGAAUAGAUGUUUAUAGAUUACUGAAUCAAGUUUCUGUACACCUAAAACUGACACAACAUCAGAAAUCAACUCUACUCCAAUAUAAAGUAACAAAUUACAAGAAGAAAAAAGGGGCAUGAAGAAAUGCUGCCACCUUGUGGGCACUUUCCAAAACAACUUAAGCCUGUGCUGAUGGCCCACUUAAUACAGGGCCUUCCGGGCUGUGGUAAAAAACACCUGUGCCAGAAAUAUCCUAAGCAGGGUCAGCGGAAAAGAAUUCGAAGGCAGGUGGUCAAGGAGUCAAUGUCAAGAGGUAGAUUUAGCUCACACCAUUU